UUUAUGGAGAGUUUGAUCCUGGCUCAGAGUGAACGCUGGCGGCGUGCCUAAUACAUGCAAGUCGAACGAUGAAGCUUCUAGCUUGCUAGAAGUGGAUUAGUGGCGCACGGGU
rnacentral:rRNA from 1 species